UACGUAGGGUGCAAGCGUUGCCCGGAUUUAUUGGGCGUAAAGGGCGCGUAGGCGGUCACGCACGUCCGUUGUGAAAUCGCCCGGCUCAACUGGGCGGGGUCAGCGGAUACGGUCGAGCUUGAGCAAGCUAGGGGGCAAUGGAAUUCCCGGUGUAGUGGUGGAAUGCGUAGAUAUCAGGAGGAACACCGGUGGCGAAGGCGGGUCUCUGGGCCGAUACUGACGCUGAGGAGCGAAAGCGUGGGGAGCGAACAGG
rnacentral:rRNA from 1 species